GGAAAGGGCCGUAGCUCAGUGGCAGAGCAUCUGCUCUGUGUGCACAAGGUCCCAGGUUCAAUCCCCAGUCUCUCCA